CUUGAACUCUCGAGAAUCCUCAGUAAUUUGAGGAGUGCCCUUCGGGGAAUUCGAUGAGAGGCGCUGCAUGGCUGUCGCCAGCUCGUGUCGUGAGAUGUUGGGUUAAGUCUCGCAACGAGCGCAACCCCUAUCCUCUGUUGCCAGCAUUAAGUUGGGCACUCUGAGGAGACUGCCUGGGCUAACCAGGAGGAAGGUGGGGAUGACGUCAAGUCCUCAUGGCCCUUAUGUCCGGGGCUACACACGUAAUACAAUGGUUGAUACAGAGGGAUGCCAAGCCGCGAGGUGGAGCAAAUCCCAAAAAGUCAAUCUCAGUCCGGAUUGGAGUCUGCAACUCGACUCCAUGAAGUUGGAAUCGCUAGUAAUCGUGGAUCAGCACGCCACGGUGAAUACGUUCCCGGGCCUUGCACACACCGCCCGU
rnacentral:rRNA from 1 species